GAGUUUGAUCAUGGCUCAGGAUGAACGCUGGCGGCGUGCUUAACACAUGCAAGUCGAACGGGCAUAGCAAUAUGUCAGUGGCGGACGGGUGAGUAACGCGUGAGCAAUCUGCCCAUAUCUGGGGAAUAGCGGCUGGAAACGGCCGGUAAUACCGCAUGGCACCAUAGAGAGGCAUCUCUCAGUGGUUAAAGAUUUAUCGGAUAUGGAUGAGCUCGCGUCCUAUUAGGUAGUUGGUGAGGUAACGGCCCACCAAGCCUGCGAUGGGUAGCCGGCCUGAGAGGGUGAUCGGCCACAUUGGAACUGAGACACGGUCC
rnacentral:rRNA from 1 species